rnacentral:rRNA from 1 species
UACGAGGGGAGCAAGCGCUGUUCGGAUUUACUGGGCGUAAAGGGCGCGUAGGCGGACCUGCAAGUCGGGGGUGAAAGCCCGAGGCUCAACCUCGGAACUGCCUUCGAUACUGCGGGUCUCGAGUCCGGGAGAGGUGAGUGGAAUUCCUAGUGUAGAGGUGAAAUUCGUAGAUAUUAGGAAGAACACCAGUGGCGAAGGCGGCUCACUGGCCCGGUACUGACACUGAGGCGCGAAAGCGUGGGGAGCAAACAGG